rnacentral:tRNA from 1 species
GCCUGGGUGGCUCAGUCGGUUGAGCAUCCGACUUCAACUCAGGUCACGAUCUCGCGGUCCGUGAGUUCGAGCCCCGCAUCGGGCU